rnacentral:tRNA from 1 species
AGAGACUUAGGCUAACAUAAGACCAAGAGCCUUCAAAGCCCUAAAUGAAGGUGAGAAUCCCUCAGUCCCUG